CUGACUCAGGCUGAGGCGGCUGCCCCUGUGCUGGUGCCAUGUCUAGUCCGCAGGCCCCACACCGGUGACCUGCCCUCAUCUCAUCUCCUACUGGAGCCCGAGGGUAGGAAUUUGUUUUUCCAAGACUCCAGACUCCAGCCCAUGACAAAAGCCAAACACACAGCUGGCGACCCGCGGGCCCGGAGCUGCCUGGUGACUGGGAUACCCCAGGCUGCCCAAACAACUGGGUACCCUGGAACGUGGCGGCCUCGUGGAUUCUGGAGGCCGAGGCCUCCGCAUCCUGGUGAGGCCUCUGUGCGUGUCCCUUCCUCAGCACAGCGUCGCCUGCCUGUGGCCGGGACCCGACGUCUUUUUCGCCUCCUUGCCUCUGAGUUCUGUUUCGUGUGGGGGGUGAGUCUCAGGCUCCCACGUUCCUGCCGCACAGCAUUGCUGGAGGAGACAUCUCCUCGCUUCAUUUGUCUGUCCCGCCAGG
ensembl:lncRNA novel transcript